GACGAACGCUGGCGGCGUGCUUAACACAUGCAAGUCGAGCGGUAAGGCCUCUUCGGGGGUACACGAGCGGCGAACGGGUGAGUAACACGUGGGUGACCUGCCCUCAGCUCUGGGAUAAGCCUGGGAAACUGGGUCUAAUACCGGAUAUGACCUUUCCUCGCAUGGGGUUUGGUGGAAAGUUUUUUCGGCUGGGGAUGGGCCCGCGGCCUAUCAGCUUGUUGGUGGGGUGAUGGCCUACCAAGGCGACGACGGGUAGCCGGCCUGAGAGGGCGACCGGCCACACUGGGACUGAGACACGGCCCAGACUCCUACGGGAGGCAGCAGUGGGGAAUAUUGCGCAAUGGGCGGAAGCCUGACGCAGCGACGCCGCGUGGGGGAUGACGGCCUUCGGGUUGUAAACCUCUUUCGACCCCGACGAAUAUGGACGGUAGGGGUAGAAGAAGCACCGGCCAACUACGUG
rnacentral:rRNA from 1 species